UCUCAUAACUGGUCCCUUUUUCUUUAGUCUUUACGUGUACUGUUAUGGAAUUUUUAUUUUUUUGUUUUUGUUUUGUUAUUUUUGCCUUUUGUUUCUCUACUCCUAAAAAAAUAUAGCCUGAAACUUCAGCAUCCCCGCACUGUGUACACAUUGGCUCACUUGUAAGCCUUGCAUUCAAGGUCCUCUACAAUAUAUACUUAAUCUGCAUUUGCAGCUUUUCUUAUUACAACUUUUUCAUGAGCCAACCCCUUCAGCCAACCUUUUUGUUUUCAAAUUGAGUAUUGACCACUUUUA
rnacentral:lncRNA from 1 species